CUAGUAUUUAUUAACAUACUUCUCUUCAUAUAUAUCCCAAGAGCUCAGUUCUUAAUGAACUUCAAUAACCUUUUGAAAGAGAGACGUUAAUAAUAAAAUAUUGUUACACAUGGUACAGUUAUUAAAGCAGCCUCGCGGCGACUAGACACUAAAAACACACGACUUUGCAGUUUGCACUGACCGAAAAUUCAGAAUACUAUACAUCGAAUUUGUCGAAAACUGGUUACGAGAAAUCACCUCUGAAGGUUUAAACUGAAGCAUUAUUUCGACAAGUUAUGGUGUAUUCAAACACAAAAACAAAAACACGCACACAUCAUUGUAGAAUCAAUACAUUCGUAAUUCUAAAAGGGUAAACGUAUUUAGUGAAAUAUAGUGUAAUUUGUACAAUUAACAAUUAUACAAAUCUAAUCAUGUGUAUUA